CGCGGUAAUACGUAGGGGGCGAGCGUUGUCCGGAUUUACUGGGCGUAAAGGGUGAGUAGGCGGUAAUAUGUGUCAGAUGUAAAAGGCUAUGGCUUAACCAUAGUUGGCAUUUGAAACUGUAUUACUUGAGUGCAGGAGAGGUAAGUGGAAUUCCUAGUGUAGCGGUGAAAUGCGUAGAUAUUAGGAGGAACACCAGUGGCGAAGGCGACUUACUGGACUGUAACUGACGCUGAGUCACGAAAGCGUGGGUAGCAAACAGGAUUAGAUACCCUGGUAGUCCACGCUGUAAACGAUGAGUGCUAGGUGUUGGGUAGCGAUAUUCAGUGCCGAAGUAAACACAAUAAGCACUCCGCCUGGGGAGUACGGUCGCAAGACUGAAACUCAAAGGAAUUGACGGGGACCCGCACAAGCAGCGGAGCAUGUGGUUUAAUUCGAAGCAACGCGAAGAACCUUACCAAGGUUUGACAUCCCCUUGACAGAUGCAGAGAUGUGUCCUCCCCUUCGGGGGCAAGGGAGACAGGUGGUGCAUGGUUGUCGUCAGCUCGUGUCGUGAGAUGUUGGGUUAAGUCCCGCAACGAGCGCAACCCUUAUCCUUAGUUGCCAGCAGGUUAAGCUGGGCACUCUAAGGAGACUGCCGAUGAUAAAUCGGAGGAAGGUGGGGAUGACGUCAAAUCAUCAUGCCCCUUAUAUCUUGGGCUACACACGUGCUACAAUGGUCGGUACAAAGGGCAGCGAAGGAGUGAUCUGGAGCAAAUCCCAAUAAACCGAUCCCAGUUCGGAUUGUAGGCUGCAACUCGCCUACAUGAAGUCGGAGUUGCUAGUAAUCGCGAAUCAGAACGUCGCGGUGAAUGCGUUCCCGGGUCUUGUACACACCGCCCGUCACACCAUGGAAGUUGGUAAUACCCAAAGU
rnacentral:rRNA from 1 species